rnacentral:rRNA from 1 species
UACGAAGGGGGCUAGCGUUGCUCGGAAUUACUGGGCGUAAAGGGCGCGUAGGCGGCACUGUUAGUCAGGCGUGAAAGUCCUGGGCUCAACCUGGGAACUGCGCUUGAUACGGCAGAGCUAGAGGAUGGAAGAGGGUCGCGGAAUUCCCAGUGUAGAGGUGAAAUUCGUAGAUAUUGGGAAGAACACGGGUGGCGAAGGCGGCGACCUGGUCCAUUACUGACGCUGAGGCGCGACAGCGUGGGGAGCAAACAGG